AGACUUGGGCUUGCACUCCCGCAGCAGGCCACAUUGUGAAGCCGACAAGUUGUCGCACCACAUGGGAACCACUGCAGCUGCGGCUUCAGCUGCCUCUGUCCAGGAAUGUGGGUCACAGCAGCUUGAACCUAGCGACAGGCCAUCUGGUGCUGGUGACGCGGAAGCUUCCCAGCCCUCGGGUAAGAUAGUACUUCAUGUACAGGGCCAGUUUUUUCAUGUUUGCCAUCCUCAUAUAUGACUGUUGUUCAGUCUUAAUAUUCCUUGAAAGUAAAAAAUUGUCCUCCACCUUACGCAGCACAAGGCUACAAAUUUCUCUGUAGCUUCAUGCUACUGUUGAGUGCAUGACAUUUUUUUCACUUUCAUGAAGCUUCCUAUAGUUCACGAAUUUUGCAGAACUUCCUUGCGAUAAGAUUGCAUGUUCAUUAUCUUCAGCACCCAGUACUGCAGCUGCAGCCUU